AAAGAAUGCUGAGGAUGCAAUACAGGGACUGAAUGGAACAGUUAUAGGGAAGCAAACUGUUCGUCUUUCUUGGGGCCGAAGUACAGGGAACAAGCAGUGGAGAGGUGAUUCUAAUAACCAAUGGAAUGGGGGACGUUAUGGCGGGCAAGGCUACGGUGGAUAUGGUGGUGGCUACUACUCCGUACCACAGCAUCAGGACACAAACAUGCAUGCCACAGCUGCUGCAGUUAAUGGAUCAUCUUGAGGAAAGAAGGAUAUGGCCAUUGCCACCAUCCAACUCAAAUCUGAGCCAAAACACAAAUCUCUUAGCUAUAAAUAUAUAUAUAAACUUGGUAAUAGAGAGAACUUAUUUAUGUUGUGGUUAGCUGAAUCUUUAUUUACUGAAUCAUAUGUCUUGAUAACAUUAUUACUGCCUUGCUGGAGUCUUUUAGACUGUUG
rnacentral:misc_RNA from 1 species